rnacentral:rRNA from 1 species
GAUGAACGCUGGCGGCGUGCCUAAUACAUGCAAGUCGAGCGAAUGGAUUGAGAGCUUGCUCUUAUGAAGUUAGCGGCGGACGGGUGAGUAACACGUGGGUAACCUGCCCAUAAGACUGGGAUAACUCCGGGAAACCGGGGCUAAUACCGGAUAACAUUUUGAACCGCAUGGUUCGAAAUUGAAAGGCGGCUUCGGCUGUCACUUAUGGAUGGACCCGCGUCGCAUUAGCUAGUUGGUGAGGUAACGGCUCACCAAGGCAACGAUGCGUAGCCGACCUGAGAGGGUGAUCGGCCAACCUGGGACUGAAACACGGCCCAGACUCCUACGGGAGGCAGCAGUAGGGAAUCUUCCGCAAUGGACGAAAGUCUGACGGAGCAACGCCGCGUGAGUGAUGAAGGCUUUCGGGUCGUAAAACUCUGUUGUUAGGGAAGAACAAGUGCUAGUUGAAUAAGCUGGCACCUUGACGGUACCUGCAGAAAAAGCACCGGCUAACUACGUGCCAGCAGCCGCCGUAA